UUAAUACUCCCUUCGUCCGAAAAUACUUGUCAUCAAAAUGGAUAAAAAGGGACGCAUCUAGAUGUAUUUUAGUUCUAGAUACAUCUCUUUUUAUCCAUUUUGAUGACAAGUAUUUUCGGACGGAGGGAGUAGUAG
rfam:Triticum aestivum genome assembly, contig: Triticum_aestivum_CS42_TGACv1_scaffold_130152_2BL